UAGUUUCCCUCCAACCACAGAGAACAUUUUCUGUUCCUUUGCUCCACACUGCUGCACCCACCAGGGCAUUUGCAUACUGUCCCCUGGGGAGGACCUGCCCCUUAAGUCUGAGAUAAAAGCUCAAAUCCAACCUUGCCUGGACUGACCAGGACUCCUCAGUCCAACUUCUCAAAAUGAGGCUCCCUGCUCAGCUCCUGGGGCUGCUGGUGCUCUGGGUCCCUGGAUCCAGUGGGGAGAUUGUGAUGACCCAGACUCCAGUGUCCCUGCCGGUCACCCCUGGAGAGCCGGCCUCCAUCUCCUGCAGGUCUAGCCAGAGCCUCCUGCACAGCAAUGGAAAGACCUAUUUGCAAUGGUUCCUGCAGAAGCCAGGCCAGUCUCCACAGCUCCUGAUCUACUUGGGUUUCACCCGGGCCUCUGGGGUCCCAGACAGGUUCAGUGGCAGCGGGUCAGGCACAGACUUUACACUGAAGAUCAGCAAGGUGGAGGCUGAGGAUGUCGGGGUUUAUUACUGCAUGCAAGCUAUACAACUUCCUCCCACAGUGGUACAGCCCCGAACACAAACGUCUCUGCUGGGUGGCCCAGCUGCCCACCAGUGUUGAUUGUCUGGUGAGCAGGUGCCAUAGAGCACGUUGCAGGGAACCUCAAGGCACAUGCGUCAGACCACUGAGCUGGACCGUGAGGGCUGUGG